AUAAGUACUGCAUAUGACAUGUCAGCUCCAACUACCACAUAAAAUGGCCUUCAGAAAGUGAGCGAGAUAAGUGCAUUGACAUGGGUUUGUAGUUUCUACCUUAUCCCAAAUCAUGCUUAAGUUAAUAUCGUCGUUUAUUGUUUACAUUCAUGGGUAUACUUUUCUGAACAGGGUAUGAGCUUGUCCAACAUCGUUUCCAUGAGAUGUCGGAUAACUUGCACGCCAUCAACAACGCAAGUGCGAACUACCUUACGAACAUGCCCUUUGAAUAAUGGACACAAUCAUAUGACGUGAGUUUGCAGUACGGGCACAUGAUGACAAACUUAGCUGAAUGCAUCAAUUUCCUAUUGAAUGGGACACGUCAUUUUUCAAUAACCUCGAUUGUCAAAUAAACAUAUUUUCCUCACUGCUUUAUUUCCAAAGCGGUCAUGGUGUAUGCUGGACAAAUAGUGGGUGGUCAUGUUUGGUGUAAGAAUGUAAUGAAAGAAAUUAGAUGAAAUAUAGCGAGAGCGAACACUAUGUAUGUAGUCUACCACUUGCUUUGAAACUUGAAAUUUUGUGUCACGGAGUAAGCUAGGCCCGACCAGGACAUGUUAGG
rnacentral:lncRNA from 1 species